rnacentral:lncRNA from 1 species
UCAUCUUUCCUACUUCCCGGAAGGGAUAUUGUUUCAGAAAAUACAUAGUAGAAGCAGGCUUAAUAGGCAGCAACAGAUAAACACAUGUGCAACAAGAAAAUAAUUUUAGAUGACGAUUUGAAGGAAGCAGGUCAUGAUGGAAAGUUCUGGAACCAUAAGUGAAGAUAUCUGUCCCCUGGAUUUGGUCGAACUGAACUGAUCCUAUUGGUGUUCCCUACAUUCUGAUCCAUACCAUACAAUUUGGCUUUCAGAAUGAUUUGAAUCUCCCUUAUAAUAAGCUGAGGGUGCCUUGCCACCGAAGUAUGCAAUCUUUUGUUCCUCUCAUUCCAUAUAGCAUAGAA